UUCAUUUUCAUCUCCCAACCCUAAACAAAAAGAAAACGCCGCCUAUCUCUUUCUCUUCAGCCUCCCUAUUCUCUCUCUUCACGCCUCAUCCCCCAUUUUAGCAAAAACUUGACCAUCUUUAGCCAUGGCAGUUCUGUAUACACCACUUCCAUACAAAAAAAAACGGCAGCUUGUCUACGCGCCCUGUCGUGGACAGAGGAAAGCUUUCCCCUUUUUGCUUCAAGACGCGAUAAUCUCCGAAAUCAAAGAAAGUUUAACCAUUUUGAGUGAAGUCCGAAUCAAAACACGUGAAAGGAUUUCAACGGAUCUAUUUGACUCAUUUCAAACAGCUAUUCACUGAAAAUCCCGCCCAAAAAACAGCCGCGACAAAGAGACAAGAAUUUUUGGUUGGUUUCAAUCCGAGAUUCGGAAUUGUUCGUGAGUAAGAGAGUAGAUUCGACGCCGACGCCCUAGUUCAUUGCACCCACAAGAGGUGAAAUCCUCAUUCAUAUUUCUAUUUUUUUUGGUUGUUGUUCGUUACUGUUAAGACAAGUUCCCAUGUAGUAUAAAAUGUGUUGUUUGCAGUUUUUGUCUCUUUCCUUUGCUUAACAUGAUUCUGUGAAUAUGAAUGCAUAUGUUAAGUACAAUGCACAUUCGUCGAAGCUGAUCUCCUUUUCCGAAUUUGAAAUGUUUGGAUGAAACUUGAUUUUAGAGUUUAGCGUUAUCUUUUUGAAUUCUAUCCGAAACGAUAGAUGAUAAGCUGAAUAAAACAAGAUGUCCUGUUAGUAGCUAUUAUAAUAUGGUAGAUAUCAUUUUACAGCUUAAUUGUCAACUGAAUCUUAGCUGAAUAUGGUGUUUGAAUGUGAAGGUAUGUUGAUGUCGUAUUAAUAAAUAUUGAUACGAGUCUGGUCUUUUCUUUCGUUUUCAUCUGAUAAGAAUUCUAUUUUUAAGGAGUUGCAAUGAACCUGUAAUACUAACUUUUACCAUUCCAAAUAGAGAUGAAAUUAUGUGUUCAUUAAAUACUAGAAAUCCAGUUUCCAUAUUCGUUUAGAUACAAGUUGAGUAUGUCUUGUUCUUCCUUAAAUACAUGUCCCUGUUUAGUAGAAUAAAUGGCUCCAUGAGUAAGAUUAUCCUACUCUAAAAAAUCAUGUUUGCGAUGUUUGUUAUGCGCACACAACACACUACGUGUUUGCUGCUUUAGUUUGCCUCUUGUGCUAAAAUUGUUCAGCUCAUUGUAGAAAUAUAAAGCCCCUUUAGUUGUUUUUUUUUCGAUGAGUUCUGGAAUGUUUGGCAGCAUGUAAGUUUAAAUUUUAAAAGUCAUGUUUAGGUGUCAAAAUGCUUCUUCUACGAUUAAAAAUUAUUGAAUAAGAAAUGUAUUCUCUCUUUGUGAAAUAUGACACUAACUACUCGUUGGAAAUUUCAUCUCACAUAUUCCAGAUGUAAUCCCUGAAUUUAAGUGUAAUGUAAUAAACUAGAAAAGUGUUCUUGCUCAUAAAAGUCUAUAGGUAUUUAAAUAACUUCAAACAUGUUGGCAUUAGUAUCAGGUUUAAAACAUGUAAUGGCUCUCUGCAUCUCAUGUAGAUGCUCGUUUACAAGUUCCAUAGGAGUCUUUUUUUUUGCACCCAGAAAUCAGGCCAUCAAUUUUAAAUUCUGGUUUGUAGUGUAAAUGAUGAGCCUGUGAAGCUAAAGCUGAAAAUGCGCGUCUUGUGUUGAGGAUAUUAUGAUCUAGUUUCUUUUCGUUUGUGAUAUUAGAAGCGUGAACAUAUAAUACGAAGCUCACUUUAUUUUGGCUUAUAUAUUCAAGAAUGAUAGCAUAAUUUAUUUGAGUGUCGAUACAUAUUUUUAAUUCUUCAUUCUUCAAUACAAGACUUCUAAUUUCUUUUCUUUUCCUUUGCAUGAACACCGGAGCCGAAGAGUUUCAUUUUGAGACUCAACGACACCUCUUACGGAGUCAGCGCGACACCAACGUCAACUCCCUCUUACAUCGCCUAAGCGGCAUCUUGCAUAGCAUUACACCCAAAACUCGUAGCUUGUCCUUCUGGAUCAUCGUAUCCUCAAAGAGAACCAAUGUUGACACGAAGUCAUAUGGCUUUACUUCUUCAUAAAUUUAUUAUCUGUGCAGUUCCUUUUUACAUCUAUGGACUUAUUGAAAGCAUGCAUUUUUAUUUUAGUUAGUGGAAAUUUAUAGGAAGUUGUGAGUAUUACAUCCCUUAGGGCAUACAAGCUAACUGAGUAGCUGGUUGUGUUCCUUUCUACAUUAAAAGUUGUUGGGUAGUUAUGACUUAGGACCACCCAGUAUUGCAUCAGUGGCAUUUGAGCCUUCGAGCGGAAUGAAUGGUCAAUUUUUUCUACGUUUAAAAAGUUGUGUAGUGAGGGAUAUGUGGGUGCUUUCAACUGAAUUUAUUUUGGGUUUAAAACA